rnacentral:lncRNA from 1 species
UGUGAAAUGGUUCAUUGUGUUAAAUGUUUUAUUGUACAAAUUAGUGGUGAUGGAUGACAGGGUUAGUGAGUCUGUCUCAUCUCUCGUCAAUCUUCAUAGUUACUCCAACAUAGCACUAAACAUGCUUGAGUAUUAUGAAGAUUUUAAUGAUCAUUUCAUGUUGGCCAUAAGAAAAAUCCUGUCAUCUUUUGAGAACUUUGUUCGACAUUGUUGAAGUGUUGAAGAAAAUUGAGUCACUGGAUGUGAUUGUGAUUAAAUUUAAUCCAAUAUUCACAUCUAGUUUCAUUCAAACAUCCCAGUUUCUUAAAAACAAAAAUUGUAUUAUAAAUGUCAAAAAUCUGUCUGAUGAAAAAUGCUUUUUAUGGUCGGUCCUUGCAUAUUUCCAUCAGAAACCAAAGAACUCGUGCUUGACUGUCAAGUAUUUGAGCAAGUUUGCUCACUCACUUAAUACGCGAGGUGUAAAUUUUCCGGUGAUGACUCGCGAUAUUAAGAAAUUUGAAAUACUGAAUCCGGAUAUUGCAAUUCACGUCAUCGCGUAUGACAACAAAAAGUUCUUCACCUACCGCACAAGCAUUUUCUGCACUCGUAAACACCAAAUUAAUCUUUUAAUGUUGAAAGCCGAUGCAGGAAAAACACAUUUUUGUUUAAUUAAUACCGCAAAUGGGAAAAAUGGAUUAUUGUGCCUUCUCUCUCACCUUUCAAAACACGAUGGUCAAGUACAUGUUUGUAAUUUCUGUUUUCAUAGAUUUACAUCGACCGAAUCCAAAAAUUGUGAUGGGAAAGCAAAUUUGAUGAAACAUGAGCAGCUUUGUUCCAAGUUUGAAUCACAGCGCAUUCCAUAUCCUAAACGCGGAGACACAAUUAAAUUUAAGAAACUAGGCAUGAUGUUGAAGAAAAAGUAUACAAUCUACGCAGCUUUAGGAACUUACGUUGUUAAUAUCGAUAAUAAUGAUGAUGAUGAUGAUGAAUCCGAUUCCGAUAAAUUACUCAUAGCUAUACAAAGAAAACAGCGUGACAUAUUCCCUGUGGGUAUUGUUUUGUUGUUAUCGAUGUGAACGGGGAAAUCGCUCACGGACCUGUACUCCAUAGAUUGAGUAAUUUAGAUGAAAAAAUCAUGGAGAAAUUUCUUCAGGAAAUUACAGAUCUCGGUGACAUUUUGUAUGAGGAUAUGAAAUGCGAAAUUCCGAUUCAACAUUUAUCCAAAAGUCAAGAACAUGAAUUUCAAAAUUUGGUAAACUGUGGGCUUUACCCCGAACCGUUUUUAGACACUGAUAUUAAAUGUCAUCACCAGGCGCAUGAAACCAGAAAUUACCUAUGUGCAGCCCACGUUUCUUGUAAUUUAUCAGCUCGUACUCCGGAGUACAUUUUGUGUUAUUUUCACAAUUUCUCUGGGUUUGAUUCCCAUUUCAUUCUGAAAGCGCUCGGUAAAUGUGAAAAAGAAAUUUCCUGCAUUGCGAAUAUGUCAGAGAGAUUUUUGACACUUUCAGUAGGCAAAAUUAAAUUUUUAGAUUCCUACAAGUUUAUGAACGAAUCCUUGGAAGUAUUGGUGCAUAAUUUGGUAGAGAGUACAGACAUGAAAAAGAAGUUCAAACGUUUAUUUCCAGUGUUUCAUGACCCACCACGCGAACACAGACAUCUCUUGUUGAAAAAAGGAAUAUAUCCUUACUCAUACAUGAGUUGUCCCGAAAAAUUCACAGAAACAUCACUUCCUCCUAUCGAAUGUUUUCAUAAUGAUUUAACUGAUACACCUCUGUCUCACGAAGAAUAUGAGCAUGCGCAAAGAGUGUUCUCGACAUUCAAACUGAAAUCUCUUGGUGAAUAUCAUGAUCUCUAGAACAGUAUGGUCGAAAUUGAAAAACUUGGGUAUUGGAAAAUCACAUGUUCAUCAUAAUAUACCUUUCAAUUUAGAUGAUAUCAAUGAUAACUUUACUGAUAAUCCUGUUGACCUGUCCGGUGCUCAUGACCACUUGAACAGGCUAAGAGGGGCGCCUCGUGUAUCUCCUGCUCAGCAGCUCUCCUUUUCUCCUGUGACUGAAGCUGAUGUGAUGAGGAUAAUCAUGGGUAUUACAAGCAAUGCAGUUGGAGUUGAUUGCAUACCUAUCAAAUUCAUUCAAGAUACUCUUCCCUUCACCUUGCCUAUUCUUACAAUAAUUUUCAAUAAAUCUUUGGAAUCAUCCUUUUUCCCCUCAAUUUGGAAAUCAGCCUUAGUCUCACCUCUGCCAAAAUGCUCUUCAGUUAAAUCAUUAUCAGAUUUGAGGCCUAUCAGUAUUCUCCCAGCUCUGUCUAAAUGUCUCGAGAAACUUGUUCAUCAGCAGUUUUCUGUUUUUCUAGAACGUUUCCAUCUUCUGUCUACCUUUCAGUCUGGGUUCUGCACAUGUCACAGUACGACCACUGCUCUGCUCAAAGUUACUGAGGAUAUCAGGUCAGCUAUGGAUAGUAGUCAGGGUACUAUUCUGACACUAUUCGAUUUUUUCAAAGGCAUUCGACUGUGUUCAUCAUCCACUCCUUCUGAAAUUAAGACAUCUUGGUCUUGAAGAGGGUUGUGUAAAAUGGAUCGAGUCUUAUUUGUCGAAUCGCCAACAGUGUGUCAGGGCCAAUAAUGAGGUCUCUUCAUGGAGAAAUGUAAUCCAAGGAGUCCCCCAAGGCUCUGUUCUUGGGCCUCUUCUGUUCUCUCUCUACAUCGAUGACAUCGCAAAAUGCAUAAAACACUGCAAAUUUCAUCUGUAUGCUGAUGAUCUUCAGAUCUAUAUACAUUUUUCUGCAGGUUAGUCUGAUGCAUGUGUCGAGCAGAUGAAUUUUGAUAUUGAUGCUAUUAGUGGCUGGGCAUAUAAUCAUGCAUUGAGAUUGAAUGAAGGUAAGACACAGAGUAUCAUUGUGACUCAUAACCGAUUCAGAGCUCAGAAUGUUCCAAGGUUGAGGUUGAAUGGCAUUGAGUUGGAGUAUUCCGAGAGUGUUAAAAACCUUGGUCUUGUUAUCUCUAAAACACUCUCAUGGCUCAAUCAGGUUGAGAUUGUUUGUAAGAGGGUGUUUGCUUGCAUCCAUAGCUUGAAACGAUUUGCCCUGUUUCUUCCACUCAAUAUCAAGAUCAUGCUGGUCAAGACUCUUGUGCUGCCUCACUUCAGCUACUGCGACACUGUCAUGAACGACUGUUGAGCUCUCUAACCAACUGCAGCUUACACAGAACUAUUGUAUUCGAUUUAUUUUCAAUGCUAGACGAUUUGAUCAUGUUACACCUUUUUAUGUACAACUAUCUCUCCUAAAAUUGAAUGAUCUUCGUACUUUGCACAUAUUGACUCUGCUUCACUCAAUAAUCAAAACCAAAUCUCCAUCUCAUCUGUCUGAGAGCUUCAGAUUUCUGUCUGAGAUUGGUGAACGUGCAACAAGGCAUGGCAACUUGCUGCUAGCUUUUCCCAUUCAUAGAACGAUGACUUUUGAGAGAUCAUUUACUGUCACUGGUUGUAGGCUGUGGAAUGAUCUUCCUGCUUCUGUCCGGGCCAUUGAUGGGCGUGCUUGCUUUGGGGUGGAGGUCAAGCGGAUUUUGUUGGCGGGUCUGCAGGGGUAGCGUGUGGUUGGCGCUUGGAACUGGUCUGGUGGGCUGUGUGAAUGUUGUGUGAAUGAUUAUAUUAAUAAUUCCUUUUUUUAUACUAUUGUUUCUUGAAUUAUAUCAUUGAUUUUUUAGUCUAAAUGCAGAUUGACUGUUUUGUUUCAACUAUGUUUCUAUUUUGUACCUAUAUUAUUUGAUGUAUUUUUAUUUAUAUAUUAAGUUACACUGUAUUUUUUUUUAUUCAAUUGCAUUUGUUAUGUUGAGGUUGAGUGGUAGAGAGGACUUAAAAGUCCUAACUCCGCCUAAUAAAGAAUUUUUUCAUUUCAUUACUAUUUAUGUUUGGAUGUGUUACUAUUAGCAGAAGUUUUUGAAUCUAUGAGGUCUAUGCUUUUUAGCUUAUACGGCCUUGAUGUCACUCAUUUUGUUUCCCUCGCACACUUUACCUGGAAUUGUUGAAGUACACUAAGGUCGAACUAGAGUUAAUCACACAUCCUGACAUGCAUCUCAUGUUUGAGGCGGGGAUGAGGGGCGGGGUCUCAUUUAUCGGUAAACGUUAUUGUGAGGCGAAUAACAAGCAUCUACCUGAGACAUACAACCCCUCAAAACCGAGUAAUUAUCUCCUUUAUAUUGAUGCGACUGAUUUCAACAUAACUUUAAUGUUCCUACACAUUUAAGUCUAUUGUUCAAUUAGAUUGUCCUAUUGUCCAAAUGAGUCUCACAUUUAUUGUCCAAUUGAAGAUACAUCAUAAUUGAGAGAGAUAUUAGGGUGAAGAGUUCUGACUGAGGCCUGUAGCUGAAUUAUGCCUCCUGAUUGAACGUCUAGCACUUUGAAGCACUGACAUGUUAAACGUCUGAAGUCCCUAUGUCAAACGUAUAUAUUGCAUCAGAAUAAGUGCUUGACGUUCAAUUAGGUGUUUUUAUUCAGCUUAAGACCUUGGUUACAGAUUUUUUCAAUAAAACCUCUUAAAUCACCUAGUUAAAUAAGUAUCAAUGUUGUUAUAAUUUGAAUUUUUUUAGGAAACAGCUCUGAAAGAGACAUUUUUCAAAUUUUCCAUAAUAAUUCAUAAUAAAGUUAUCGUAAAGGUCACGUCCAAUGUGUGACAGUCAAUGAGCAACAGUAGGAAAAAAUAGUCCAAUGUGCAACGGUAUCCCUGGUGAAGGCCUCCAUUGUUAAGAAGAACAACGAGGGAAGUAUACAUAGAUAGCCUGAAAUAAUGGAGCUGUUAUCAAACACCUUUUUAUUUUAUCAAAACACGAUUAGCUUCAACUCAUUAGAGCCAUUUUCAAUAAUAAAUAAAAUAAACCACAAAGCAUAAUUGUUAGUUUAUGUUCAAAUGAUAAUUAACAGUAUGAAUUAGCUUUUUGCUCUGAAAUAUGUUUCAAUAUUGACCUGCAAUACGAUAAUAUUGAUGAUAAUGAUGGAAUCAGUACCUAGCAUCUCCCAUAAAAAAGUAAUCAGGUGUUACACAAAGAUGAAACAGUUUUUAGCUUUCUUUUGAACUGUUCAAAUUAAUUUUCAUUUCAUAUUAUUUUUUGUAAAAAUAAAUUGGAAUUCACAGUUUCAAGAAGUUUUAUCGAUCAUCUGCAUAUUUCUUCACGUGAAUAACACAUGAAGACACGCAACACUACUGCAAAUAAGUAUUUUUCAGAUAUCAAAGAGAGCGCUGAAAAGAAUGAAGUGUAGUACGAUGAGAUCCGAGCAUUGUGUCGAAAGUUAUGAGUGUUUGAAAUUUCGAUCCUUGAGGUGUCCUUAUGCGCAUCUCUCCUCUGUCCUUAUGCACAGAGGAGUCCUUAGGAGGUGUCCUUAUGCGCAUACUGGAAUGAAGUGCAUCUAACGGGUGAUUCUCAUAGAACAUAAUCUCAUGAACUUAUAUCAUUGUGCGAAAUAUCAAUGUGACGACAAUAUUUAGUCAGUGAUGAUGGUUGAAGCUAAAAAUUAGGUGUUUCACACAAUACAAGGAGCAUUGUUGUCAGGUGUAGGCUACCUGGAAAUCUAUAUGAAAUAGAGCGCUCUAGCUGAACUCAGAUUAUAGAGCACAAAAAUACGCCCAGAAGGAUUUUGAAUAAUACAUCUAAAUGGUAACAAUCUGAAGAUAUUGUUGAUUAAAAACUAUAAUUCGUCGAAACUUAUUUUUUUCUUUAAAUUCCACUCAUUUUCGAAAAAUCAUAAUUCAGUACUUAUUCAGAAUCUUUCAAUCUAAAAAAUAGGCGAGAGAAAAUUCUUCUGUCCAAUUAAUGGAUAAAGCUGGGUAUUCGUUUGUGCGUAAAUGCCGUUGUCGACCACGACAGGCUGAGGAUCUCAGACUGGAUGGAUUUCACUUUUUCUUCAUAACCUUUAAGAUUAUGUUCAAUAAUUAUGUUUCAAUUUGGGAGGUUGAGUUUAUACUUUAAAUGGCAAUAUGUUGAUAUUAUUAGAAAUGUUUCGAUUUUAAAAAAUAAUAAACACAAAUCAUGAAAAGUUAUUUGAUCAGCUAUUUUAGCACACUUGAAAUUUGGACAAUAUGAAUGUCAACAAUGCUUGUCGAAACUAAUCUCGAAUAUACUUUUGAAUAUAGCCCAGUCAACGAAGUGUUAUAGAGGGAAAAGUUUGGAAGACAAUUCUUGACCCCGCAGUUCUGUUUAGGGUAGUGAGGAGGUAAAAACAUAUCAAAAGUCCCCACCCCUACCUCCUGUGCUAACUGCAACCAAUAUGACUAGCUAUUCAGAAAUAAAGCUUGAUAAAUUCUCUACAAUAUUUGUUCUUUGAUGAUUUGUGAUAUCUCCAACAGUUUUCGAGAUAUACGCUCACCCCCAACUGGUCUCAACAAAGCUGCGAAGUCAAAAGUUGUGUUUAAAACAUUCUUUCCAAACUCCUCUAUUAAUUGGUCUAUUUUUGCGUAACUGAAGAUCUCACACUCAACACUGAAGCAGUCGUGGGGAUGUGUGUAAACUUGUGAAAUUAUACAUCAAAUUGAAGAGAAUUUGAUGCUCUAUAAGCUCAUGAUCAGCAUGGAUUUUUCCCAUCAAUAUUCAAAAAGUUAUAAGAGCAAAAAAUUGAAUGAAAAUGUGUUUUUUUCAAAAAUGUCAUAUCUUUUAGAACGGAUAUCUCGGAAAUUGGAAGAGAUAUAGAAAAAGUUUCGAGAUCAAUAUUGUAGGAAAUUAUGUGAGCUUUAAUUUCUUAUAGAAUAGUCAUGUCUGGAAAAUGCAUAAUUUUCGAGUUGUAUGUGAGAAACCAAAAAAUGGUACCUUUGAACAACCCCCACCCUCUUAGCACAGUGGUUAGGGGUGGGGACUUUUGAUAUGUCUACCUCCUCACCACCCUAAACAGAACUGCGGGGUCAAAAAUUGUCUUCCAAAAUUUUCCCUCUAUACCCUUUUUUGAGCAUUCAUUGCCUGGACUAAUAACUAUGUGAUAACUAUGACAUUUGCCUGUCGUUACUUUGUAUCUGAGACAAAGAGAUCUCUAAGAGAGUAUCUCAAUGCUUGUCGUCUUCGACUGCAGAAGUUUACGCACAAAUGAAAACGCACUUUAAGGGUAGGUAAUGAUUAAACGAUGACGGUUCGUUUACUCAUAAAAUUGAAGAGGUUAUGUGGGCAAAAUCAUACAAAAGAAAUCCAACACAUUGUGAUGAAACAAGAAUCUCAUGAAUGGAUUAAUUAUAAUGUUUAUAUUAGCCCACUAGUAUUAAUAAUUUAAGAAUAGAAAUUAUCAUAAUUUUAGAAUAGAAAUUGUAAUCACAAUUUUAAAGUGAAAUACAUAUGCAUAAUUUUCCUACUUAUCAAUUAGGAAUUAAAACGUUUCUAGUGAUAACAAUCUUAAAAGGACAGUCCAAAUUAAGAUAUGCAUUUCGAUCCGAACCUCCAGUGACGAGAAUAAAAGUACUAACUAGACUAGAUCAUGGUUGUUCUCAAAAGGUUAUAUCGAUACAUGUUUCAGUGCAUUUGAAUGAUCAGAAUACUAAAUACUGCUCAAUUAUAAACUUCUUACUAAGUUACUCACUUUUCUAAUUGGCUUGUGCUACAUACUAUUAACUCGCCUCCUACAGGAGAAAAUGCAUAAUUUUACUUUUCCAAAUAAAACAUAAUCACUAUAGCCUACUAAAUUACACUAUAAUCUGAUUUUGUCCAUUAGGUACUUUGAUUCCAGGUGAAUCUAUUUUACUGCAUCAUAAAAGCGGAAGAAGGAGGUGAAAAUCAACUUGCCGACUGUUUAGCUGUGGUAAAAGCUAUCAAAUCCAUGAAUCCAGGAACCUAUUCAAUUAUCAAGAACUUCUCUGUCAUAGUAUGGUCGGACCCAUUCACCAAGGAAGGUCGCAGUUAUCAAAGCAUUCAUUUUACUCCUAUUAUAAAGACAAAUUCUGACAUUUUACAACAUUCUACAGGCACAUAGAAGACUGGCUUAUGAUGGCGAAAGACUUUUGAAGGCGGUUACCUUGAUUGGGAUCAUAUCUAUUAAACCUUCGAAUCCUGCACUCAAAAGUAAAUGUGAUACCAUUCAAAUGGAAUAAGAUUGAUUUGAACUGGAAUUAUGAAAUUAAAAUGUUAUUCCCGUAUCAUAGUGCAUUUUUCUACUAGUUACCCUAAGUAUUGUACAUUAUUAUAAUGAAGCACUAGCUGUUCCAUAAUUGAAAGUCUUCGAAAUAAAAGGUUUCUUUUUCAA